rnacentral:rRNA from 1 species
UACGUAGGCAGCGAGCGUUGUUCGGAGUUACUGGGCGUAAAGGGUGUGUAGGCGGUUGUUUAAGUUUGGUGUGAAAUCUCCCGGCUCAACUGGGAGGGUGCGCCGAAUACUGAAUGACUAGAGUGCGGGAGAGGAAAGUGGAAUUCCUGGUGUAGCGGUGAAAUGCGUAGAUAUCAGGAGGAACACCGGUGGUGUAGACGGCUUUCUGGACCGCAACUGACGCUGAGGCACGAAAGCGUGGGUAGCAAACAGG